rnacentral:lncRNA from 1 species
CGGACGAUCUCGAGUCGUACGGGCUUGGGUCGAUUUUGAGUCUUACGUGGCCGAGCUGAACUCGAGUUGUACGGGCCUUAGCCAAUAUCGAGUCGUACGGGCCCGGGCCGAUGUCGAGUUGUACGGGCUCGGGCCGAUGUCGAGUCGUGCGGGUUGGAUUUUGACUUGGCUCGAUCCAGGUUUAGCCAAGACAAUCCUGGCCCAGGUUGAGUCAAGUCGGACCAUGUCCACGUAAACCUGAGUCGUCC